rnacentral:rRNA from 1 species
CCUAGCUUGCUAGGUGGAUUAGUGGCGCACGGGUGAGUAAUAUAUAGAUAACGUGCCUCUUAGUCUGGGAUAGCCAUUGGAAACGAUGAUUAAUACUAGAUACUCCUUCUAACUCUAAUGUUAGUCGGGAAAGUUUUUCGCUAAGAGAUCGGUCUAUAUCCCAUCAGCUAGUUGGUAGUGUAAGAGACUACCAAGGCAAUGACGGGUAGCGGGUUUGAGAGGAUGAUCCGCCACACUGGUACUGAGACACGGACCAGACUCCUACGGGAGGCAGCAGUGAGGAAUAUUGCACAAUGGAGGAAACUCUGAUGCAGCAACGCCGCGUGGAGGAUGACGCAUUUCGGUGUGUAAACUCCUUUUAUAUGUCAAGAAAAUGACGGUAGCAUAUGAAUAAGCACCGGCUAACUCCGUGCCAGCAGCCGCGGUAAUACGGAGGGUGCAAGCGUUAUUCGGAAU